rnacentral:lncRNA from 1 species
AUGUUCAUAACCUUUAUGGACAGGAUUUCUAGGCACAGCCAAGUUGUGGAGGGCAUCCGUUUUGGUGGCCUGAGGAUCAGGUCUCUGAUUUUUGCAGAUGAUGUGGUCCUGUUGGCUUCAUCAGAACGUGAUCUCCAGAUUUCGCUGGAGCGGUUCGCAGCCGAGUGUGAAGCAGUUGGGAUGAGAAUCAGCUCCUCUACAUCUGAGACCAUGGUCUUGAUUCAGAAAAGGGUAGAAUGCCUUCUCCGGGUCAGGGACGAGGUCCUGCCCCAAGUGGAGGAGUUUAAGUAUCUCGGGGUCUUGUUCACGAGUGAGGGAAAACUGGAGUGUGAUAGCGAUAGGCUGAUUGGUGCUGCAUCUGCAGUGAUGUGGGCAUUGUACCGGUCUGUCAUGGUGAAGAGAGAGUUGAGUCAGAAUGUGAAGCUCUUGAUUUACCGGUUACUCUACGUUCCUACCCUCACCUAUGGUCAUGAGCUUUGGGUAGUGACCGAGAGAACGAGAUUGCGGAUACAAGCGGCCGAAAUGAGUUUUCUCCAAAGAGUGGCUGGGCUCUCCCUUAGAGAUAGGGUGAGAAGCUCAGUCAUUCGGGAGGGGCUCGAAGUAGACCCGCUGCUCCUCCACAUCGAGAGGAGCCAGUUGAGGUGGCUUGGGGGCAUCUGGUCAGGAUGCCUCCUGGAUGCCUCCCUGUUGAGGUUUUCCAGGCAUGUCCAACUGGGAGGAGACCUAAAGGUAGACCCAGGACACGGUGGAGGGACUAUGUCUCUCACCUGGCAUGGGAACGCCUUGGGAUUCCCCCAGAGGAGCUGGCCCAAGUGGCUGGGGAGAGGGAAGUCUGGGCCUCUCGCCUUAUGCUACUGCCCCCGCGACCCGACUCCGGAUAAGCGGAUGAUUAUGGAUGGAUGGAUGGAUAGAUGUCUUUGCCAGGUGAAUAAAUGUUUUUGCCACUUGGGGAAAAUUUGUUUUGGGGGAAGUGAGUUUCAAUGUGACAAUCAAUGUAAUAAACAGAUUUUUUUUUACCAUGCAGGCCACCCAGAACUUGAUCCCAAAUUUGUCCGGCUUUGUUGCAACAUACUGGGUGAAUGGACAACGAACUUUUGUAGGGAGCAGCAGUUCAUCAGUGGUCAUGUGUCGUCCUGGAGUGAAACUGUCAGCACAGUUCUUGAUGAAGCAUUUCCAGAUGUCUGA